UGGAGCUGCAGUGAGUGGUCAGGAAAUCCGCAAAAAUAAAUAAAGAGACGACAUUGAAACCCCCCAAUACACACACACAGACCUCUCUCUUUCAUGGCGUCUAUGCUCUUGCCACCGCCAACCUCUUCUUCCGCCGCUUCCUCUCUUUUCUCGCGCUCCUCCUUUCCUACUCCCACUCCCGCCAGAUGUGAGUUGACAGGGCCGGCGAACCGGAAGCCUUAUGUUCCUGUUCUCAACGAUCAGAUGUUGCCCAAGUACUUGCAAUCGAGACGAUUGGUGACUGCGUUGAACACAAAUACUACUAAUAACAGGAUCAAGAUAUUCUCCGGUACUGGCAAUUUCGCGCUUUCUCAGGAAAUUGCUAGGUAUAUGGGCAUCAACCUUGGAAAUAUCCACAUUAAGCGAUUUGCAGAUGGAGAGAUUUACGUUCAGUUGCAAGAGAGUGUCCGUGGCUGUGAUGUAUACCUGGUCCAGCCAACCUGUCCUCCAGCUAAUGAAAAUCUUAUGGAGCUUCUGAUAAUGAUAGAUGCUUGCCGAAGAGCUUCAGCCAAAAAUAUCACUGCAGUCAUCCCAUACUUUGGAUAUGCUCGAGCGGAUAGAAAGACCCAAGGACGUGAAUCUAUUGCUGCCAAAUUAGUAGCCAAUCUUAUCACAGAAGCAGGUGCAGAUCGUGUUCUUGCCUGUGAUAUCCACUCUGGGCAGUCCAUGGGUUACUUUGAUAUUCCCGUGGACCACGUAUACUGCCAGCCUGUCAUCCUUGAUUAUCUUGCCAGCAAGAAGAUAUCCUCUGGUGACUUGGUAGUAGUCUCACCUGAUGUUGGAGGAGUUGCACGAGCAAGAGCUUUUGCCAAGAAAUUAUCUGAUGCACCUUUGGCCAUUGUGGACAAAAGGCGACAGGGGCAUAAUGUUGCUGAGGUAAUGAAUCUGAUUGGUGAUGUUAAAGGAAAAGUUGCAGUGAUGGUAGAUGACAUGAUAGAUACAGCAGGAACUAUUGCCAAAGGUGCAGAGUUGCUGCAUGAGGAAGGUGCUCGGGAAGUCUAUGCAUGCAGCACUCAUGCUGUUUUCAGCCCCCCUGCAAUCGAGAGGUUGUCGAGUGGCCUGUUCCAAGAGGUUAUUAUCACAAAUACCCUUCCAGUGUCGGAGAAAAACUAUUUCCCUCAGUUGACAGUUCUUUCAGUUGCUAACCUCUUGGGUGAAACAAUAUGGCGGGUUCAUGAUGAUUGUUCCGUGAGUAGCAUUUUCCAGUGAUAAAACAUCUGGUUUACUAGCUGAUCAAUGGUGAGGAAACCUUUCCGUUGCAGAAAAAUAGUUUAUCAGUUUACCGCCUGCUACUUGUGCCUGCAAUGCCAUCUUCUACCUCACCUCAACCCCACAAGACAUUCGUAGAAGUUGAAGCAAUAAUGCCAGUCUUUGAAAUGAUCUUUUCGCGAAUCUCAGGUCUUCGCACUUCUUUAUUUAAUUUUCUGGUUCAGAAUCAGCAAGGAGUUGUUAGUAGCAGGCAGAUAGGGGAGAUGGAAUUGGCUAAGAGGAUAUGUUGUCGUCCUUGGUCAGCAUUGCUGCACUCCAAUAUCUUCCCAAUUAAUGGCGGGUGCAACAAUUGCAGUACUCAGCCAGUUGAGGGGGGUAGCUUUGCGUUUGAAUGAUAUUCGAGUCCGUUUCUCUUUUGAAAAUGCUUCGCACUCUCAUAUAAUUGCGGUGAUGAACAUUCAACUGUGACCGAAGACGCUUGCCGUCAGUGACGGUACACAACCCUCUAAGAAGUUCUGAGCUCCGAUUUGCUAUUUCUGUUUUCCUUUUAUAUUAUUAGUAAUCUUAUUCUCGUUUUGGCGAAGUGACGAUAAAAUUCAUGCUCAAAUCACUGAUUUAUUGUGAUGUUAAAAUUGAAUCUCGACAGGUUCUGAUCGCUUGUUAAAUUUUAAAUAUUUGUUGGAAAUUUUAAAUUGUGUGAUUUGGUUGUGCGCCAGAUGAUGAAUCUUAUGUGAAAUGGGUAAUUUGCGACUGAUUUGUUGUGAUGCUAAACUCACCUUGGAGAACUGAUGCCAAUAAAAUUUUAAUAUCUGCUUUUGGAUUUUUGUUGAACUGAAAGUAUCUACAGCAGAGAUUGUGUGUAUCGACGUUGUGCGAAUUUGAUUCAAAAUGCACUCUGAUUGAAAGUAUUCUCUGCAAAAUUGAAAUCACAAGGCGAAGAUGGGCAGUUGUCCUUCAAAUUUUCAGUUGAUUUGUCAACAAUCAUCUUCCCCACACUUCCAUAAAAUUUAAUACUCAUAUUCCCUUUCCUUUCCCACUAGUUGCAUAUGUUACCAAUUCGAUAUUUUUGUCUUAAUUUAUUUUACACCUAUGUUGCCAUUGCUACUGCUGCUUUGGUAGGAUUCCUCUGCCGCAGCAUGAAGCUGUUUCCCUUGUUAGCAAAAUCACGUUUUUAUGCAAUUUACAUUCCUAAAUUUGUAAUUUAUGUGAAUUUCAUAUUUCUGUAUUAUUUUAUGUUCUGAUUGAGCUGGUUGAGGUAUUGUUGGUUUUAUGCAUUUAAAUUAAGCAGCUAUGAUGAAUAUUCAACUGUGACCGGAGACUUGUCGUCAGUGACGGUUCACAACCCUCUAAGAAGUUCUGAGCGCUUUAAUUUGUUUGAAAUCUUAUGCUCAAUUUUCCUAUGAUUUUGGCGAAGUGACGAUGAAUUUCAUGCUCAAAUCACUGAUUUGUUGUGAUGUUAAAAUUGAAUCUCGACAGGUUCUGAUCGCCUGUUUAAUUUCAAAUGUUGUGAUUUGAUUGUGUGGCAUGUGAUGAAUUUAAUGUGAAAUGGGUAAUUUGCGACUGAUUUGUUGUGAUGCUAAACUCACCUUGGAGAACUGAUGC